rnacentral:rRNA from 1 species
GAUGAACGCUGGCGGCGUGCCUAAUACAUGCAAGUCGAGCGAACAGACGAGGAGCUUGCUCCUCUGAUGUUAGCGGCGGACGGGUGAGUAACACGUGGAUAACCUACCUAUAAGACUGGGAUAACUUCGGGAAACCGGAGCUAAUACCGGAUAACAUGUUGAACCGCAUGGUUCAACAGUGAGAGACGGUCUUGCUGUCACUUAUAGAUGGAUCCGCGCCGCAUUAGCUAGUUGGUAAGGUAACGGCUUACCAAGGCAACGAUGCGUAGCCGACCUGAGAGGGUGAUCGGCCACACUGGAACUGAGACACGGUCCAGACUCCUACGGGAGGCAGCAGUAGGGAAUCUUCCGCAAUGGGCGAAAGCCUGACGGAGCAACGCCGCGUGAGUGAAGAAGGUCUUCGGAUCGUAAAACUCUGUUAUUAGGGAAGAACAAAUGUGUAAGUAACUAUGCACGUCUUGACGGUACCUAAUCAGAAAGCCACGGCUAACUACGUG